rnacentral:rRNA from 1 species
UACAGAGGAUGCAAGCGUUAUCCGGAAUGAUUGGGCGUAAAGAGCGUGUAGGCGGCCCGAUAAGUCCGCCGUGAAAGUCCAGGGCUCAACCCUGGAAUGCCGGUGGAAACUGUCGGGCUGGAGUCCGGAAGAGGCGAGUGGAAUUCCUGGUGUAGCGGUGAAAUGCGCAGAUAUCAGGAGGAACACCAAUGGCGAAGGCGGCUCGCUGGGACGGUACUGACGCUGAGACGCGAAAGCGUGGGGAGCAAACAGG